GACGAACCGUGCGAACGUUGUUCGGAAUCACUGGGCUUAAAGGGCGCGUAGGCGGUCGAUCACGUCCGGGGUGAAAGCUUUCGGCUUAACCGGAAAAGUGCCUUGGAUACGGAUCGGCUUGAGGGAGGUAGGGGCAAGCGGAACUUCCGGUGGAGCGGUGAAAUGCGUUGAUAUCGGAAGGAACGCCGGUGGCGAAAGCGGCUUGCUGGAUCUCUUCUGACGCUGAGGCGCGAAAGCUAGGGGAGCAAACGGG
rnacentral:rRNA from 1 species